GUGCUCACUUUGGCACACUUAUUAAACUGUAACAACCCUGAGAAGAUCAGCAUGCCCCUGCAUAAAUUUGGUAUACAAAUUCAUAAAGCAUUCCAUAUUUUU
rnacentral:snRNA from 1 species